rnacentral:rRNA from 1 species
UACGUAGGGGGCGAGCGUUGUCCGGAUUUAUUGGGCGUAAAGCGCACGCAGGCGGUCUUUCAAGUUCGGAGUGACAGUUGUCGGCUUAACCGAGAAAGUGCUUUGAAGACUGAAAGACUUGAGGGCUCAAGAGGGACACGGAAUUCCGGGUGUAGUGGUGAAAUGCGUAGAUAUCCGGAGGAACACCAAAUGCGAAGGCAGUGUCCUGGGGAGUACCUGACGCUCAGGUGCGAAAGCUAGGGGAGCGAACGGG